rfam:Camelus ferus unplaced genomic scaffold scaffold224, whole genome shotgun sequence.
UUUGGGGGCAGUGUUUACAGACUCUUCUUCUCUGCCUCCGCCCUGCUCUUGGCCCUGGCUUUGUGCUUCUUCUGUUUUCCAGCCAGACUCAGAAAAACGAAAACGCAGCUCGGGGAGCCCCCACCAGCCGGCGCCCGUGCCAGUUCACCUCUGGCCGUGGUGAGGCUGCCGGUGCAUGCCGCGUCCAAGGCCAGCUCCACAUUCCUCCCUCCCUCUCCCCACUUCACCAGAGACUGAACCCGGCAUGCAGAGGAAGGGCCCUCAGCUCCACAGACUGCCAAAGUCGACUGGGUCCCCCCUCACCAAAAAUGGUGAGACAGGAUUGUCUGCUGAGGAGCUCCAAGCAG